UCAACAAACACAUAUUGUAUUAAUUAAUGGUCAAAUACUAAAUUGAGAUUUUAUAAAAAAAUUUAAUAAGCUGUAAAGCUUGUCAAUUUGUUUACUUUAUUACAACUACAAUUUUUCAGCCCUUUUCCAGAAUUUGAACUAAUUUGAUCAUAAAGAUUGAUCUAUUUAUAAUUUAUCGAUUACAAUUUUUAGACAAUUAAAGCUGGUUAAAGGAACUUUUAUUUUGGAAAAAGAACUGCUGCUGUUUCAAGACAUGCGCACUAGCUGCGACAUCUAGUGACGACAUUUACCGGGCUUUAACGGUUGUUGCUGCAUGAAGUCUGCUGCAAUUUCUCUGAGAUUUCUCAAGAUCAUCAGUUUGGACAGAAUUUAUUUGAAGGAUUAAUAGCACUAGCAGGUUCCAAUAAAGGCUGGAACAGAACAGACAGAAAAGAAUCUGUCAGAAGAAAUUCAACUACUGUUCGUGCACCAGAUGGUGAAGUAGAAAAGUUCGUAAAAACUUCUGCAGCUUGCAUCUGACAGAGAUGCAAAAAGAAUCAGAGAGCGGGCCUGAAAACAAGCAAAUUCAAGGUAUUUCAAUUGUUGUUAAAGGGAUAGUUCAAUAGAUAUUCUUUCAUCAUUUACUCAUCCUCAUGUUGUUCUAAAUCUGCAUGAUUUUUUCUGAUGAACACAAAUUAAGAUGUUUUGCGUAAUGAUGGUAAAAACACAGCACAUUGUAACCAUUGACUUCCAUAGUAGGAAAAAGUAUUUUGAAAGUAUUGUGAUAUAUGAUGAAGAAAAUAUUUUGAUAAAUGAUGGUUAGCACACAGGUGACGGUACCCAUUAAAUUCCAUCAUAUUUUUUUAUUCCUUCUAUGGAAGUCAAUGGUUACAAUC